rnacentral:rRNA from 1 species
GAUGAACGCUGGCGGCGUGCCUAAUACAUGCAAGUCGAGCGAACGGACGAGAAGCUUGCUUCUCUGAUGUUAGCGGCGGACGGGUGAGUAACACGUGGAUAACCUACCUAUAAGACUGGGAUAACUUCGGGAAACCGGAGCUAAUACCGGAUAAUAUUUUGAACGGCAGGGUUCAAAAGUGAAAGACGGUCUUGCUGUCACUAAUAGCUGGAUCCGCGCUGCAUUAGCUAGUUGGUAAGGUAACGGCUUACCAAGGCAACGAUGCAUAGCCGACCUGAGAGGGUGAUCGGCCACACUGGAACUGAGACACGGUCCAGACUCCUACGGGAGGCAGCAGUAGGGAAUCUUCCGCAAUGGGCGAAAGCCUGACGGAGCAACGCCGCGUGAGUGAUGAAGGUCUUCGGAUCGUAAAACUCUGUUAUUAGGGAAGAACAUAUGUGUAAGUAACUGUGCACAUCUUGACGGUACCUAAUCAGAAAGCCACGGCUAACUACGUG